rnacentral:rRNA from 1 species
UUCGCAAUGCCCGAAAGGGUGACGAAGCGACGCCGCGUGUGGGAAGAAGGCCUUCGGGUUGUAAACCACUGUCGGGAGUUAAGAAAUGCAAGGAUAUGAAUAGUGUCUUUGCUUGACUAAGGCUCCGGAGGAAGCCACGGCCAACUCUGUGCCAGCAGCCGCGGUAAUACAGAGGCGGCAAGCGUUGUUCGGAAUUAUUGGGCGUAAAGAGCACGUAGGCGGCUAUGUAAGUCGGUUGUGAAAGCCUUCCGCUCAACGGAAGAACGGCAUCCGAUACUGCAUAGCUUGAGUGCGGGAGGGGAGAGUGGAACUUCUGGUGGAGCGGUGAAAUGCGUAGAUAUCAGAAGGAACGCCGGCGGCGAAAGCGGCUCUCUGGCCCAUAACUGACGCUGAGUGUGCGAAAGCUAGGGGAGCAAACGGGAUUAGAUACCCCGGUAGUCCUAGCCGUAAACGAUGGGCACUAAGUAGAGGGGUUUU